rnacentral:rRNA from 1 species
UGAUGUUAGCGGCGGACGGGUGAGUAACACGUGGGUAACCUGCCUGUAAGACUGGGAUAACUCCGGGAAACCGGGGCUAAUACCGGAUGGUUGUUUGAACCGCAUGGUUCAAACAUAAAAGGUGGCUUCGGCUACCACUUACAGAUGGACCCGCGGCGCAUUAGCUAGUUGGUGAGGUAACGGCUCACCAAGGCAACGAUGCGUAGCCGACCUGAGAGGGUGAUCGGCCACACUGGGACUGAGACACGGCCCAGACUCCUACGGGAGGCAGCAGUAGGGAAUCUUCCGCAAUGGACGAAAGUCUGACGGAGCAACGCCGCGUGAGUGAUGAAGGUUUUCGGAUCGUAAAGCUCUGUUGUUAGGGAAGAACAAGUACCGUUCGAAUAGGGCGGUACCUUGACGGUACCUAACCAGAAAGCCACGGCUAACUACGUGCCAGCAGCCGCGGUAAUACGUAGGUGGCAAGCGUUGUCCGGAAUUAUUGGGCGUAAAGGGCUCGCAGGCGGUUUCUUAAGUCUGAUGUGAAAGCCCCCGGCUCAACCGGGGAGGGUCAUUGGAAACUGGGGAACUUGAGUGCAGAAGAGGAGAGUGGAAUUCCACGUGUAGCGGUGAAAUGCGUAGAGAUGUGGAGGAACACC